rnacentral:rRNA from 1 species
UGGGGAAUAUUGGACAAUGGGCGCAAGCCUGAUCCAGCCAUGCCGCGUGAGUGAUGAAGGCCCUAGGGUUGUAAAGCUCUUUCAGCGAGGAGGAUAAUGACGUUACUCGCAGAAGAAGCCCCGGCUAACUUCGUGCCAGCAGCCGCGGUAAUACGAAGGGGGCUAGCGUUGUUCGGAAUCACUGGGCGUAAAGCGCACGUAGGCGGACUUUUAAGUCAGGGGUGAAAUCCCGGGGCUCAACCUCGGAACUGCCUUUGAUACUGGAAGUCUGGAGUCCGAGAGAGGUGAGUGGAACUCCGAGUGUAGAGGUGAAAUUCGUAGAUAUUCGGAAGAACACCAGUGGCGAAGGCGGCUCACUGGCUCGGUACUGACGCUGAGGUGCGAAAAGCGUGGGGAGCAAAACAGGAUUAGAUACCCUGGUAGUCCACGCCGUAAACGAUGGAAGCUAGCCGUCAGGGUGCAUGCAUCUUGGUGGCGCAGUUAACGCAUUAAGCUUCCCGCCUGGGGAGUAACGGUCGCAAGAUUAAAAACUCAAAUGAAAUUGACGGGGGUCAUAGCUGUUUCCU